rfam:Daucus carota subsp. sativus cultivar DH1 chromosome 1, whole genome shotgun sequence.
UGGCAAUGAGGACAAAAAGGCCGGACUUACGGCUGCUUACCAUGUUGUGGUAUUGGUAGUAGAUUGAUGAUUAUUUCCAAAGGUUAUACUGAGCUGC